GCCCACGACCCGGCAUCGGGUAGAGGGAAAAGGAGCAAUCCGCUUUGAGAUGGCCUCGCGUCCGAUUAGCUAGUUGGUGAGGUAAUGGCCCACCAAGGCGACGAUCGGUAGCCGGACUGAGAGGUUGAACGGCCACAUUGGGACUGAGACACGGCCCAGACUCCUACGGGAGGCAGCAGUGGGGAAUAUUGCACAAUGGGGGAAACCCUGAUGCAGCGACGCCGCGUGGAGGAAGAAGGUCUUCGGAUUGUAAACUCCUGUUGUUGAGGAAGAUAAUGACGGUACUCAACAAGGAAGUGACGGCUAACUACGUGCCAGCAGCCGCGGUAAAACGUAGGUCACAAGCGUUGUCCGGAAUUACUGGGUGUAAAGGGAGCGCAGGCGGGAAGACAAGUUGGAAGUGAAAUCCAUGGGCUCAACCCAUGAACUGCUUUCAAAACUGUUUUUCUUGAGUAGUGCAGAGGUAGGCGGAAUUCCCGGUGUAGCGGUGGAAUGCGUAGAUAUCGGGAGGAACACCAGUGGCGAAGGCGGCCUACUGGGCACCAACUGACGCUGAGGCUCGAAAGUGUGGGUAGCAAACAGGAUUAGAUACCCUGGUAGUCCACACUGUAAACGAUGAUUACUAGGUGUUGGAGGAUUGACCCCUUCAGUGCCGCAGUUAACACAAUAAGUAAUCCACCUGGGGAGUA
rnacentral:rRNA from 1 species